rnacentral:rRNA from 1 species
GAUGAACGCUGGCGGCGUGCCUAAUACAUGCAAGUCGAGCGAACGGACGAGAAGCUUGCUUCUCUGAUGUUAGCGGCGGACGGGUGAGUAACACGUGGAUAACCUACCUAUAAGACUGGGAUAACUUCGGGAAACCGGAGCUAAUACCGGAUAAUAUUUUGAACCGCAUGGUUCAAAAGUGAAAGACGGUCUUGCUGUCACUUAUAGAUGGAUCCGCGCUGCAUUAGCUAGUUGGUAAGGUAACGGCUUACCAAGGCAACGAUGCAUAGCCGAUCUGAGAGGGUGAUCGGCCACACUGGAACUGAGACACGGUCCAGACUCCUACGGGAGGCAGCAGUAGGGAAUCUUCCGCAAUGGGCGAAAGCCUGACGGAGCAACGCCGCGUGAGUGAUGAAGGUCUUCGGAUCGUAAAACUCUGUUAUUAGGGAAGAACAUAUGUGUAAGUAACUGUGCACAUCUUGACGGUACCUAAUCAGAAAGCCACGGCUAACUACGU